rnacentral:rRNA from 1 species
UACGUAGGGGGCAAGCGUUGUCCGGAUUUAUUGGGCGUAAAGAGCGUGUAGGCGGCCUUACAGGUCAGCUGUGAAAACUCGAGGCUCAACCUCGAGACGUCGGUUGAAACCGUAUGGCUAGAGUCCGGAAGAGGAGAGUGGAAUUCCCGGUGUAGCGGUGAAAUGCGCAGAUAUCGUAAGGAAGACCAGUGGCGAAGGCGGGUCUCUGGACAGUUCCUGACGCUGAGGCACGAAGGCCAGGGGAGCAAACGGG